rnacentral:rRNA from 1 species
AACGAACGCUGGCGGCAUGCCUAACACAUGCAAGUCGAACGAGACCUUCGGGUCUAGUGGCGCACGGGUGCGUAACGCGUGGGAACCUGCCCUUAGGUUCGGAAUAACUCCCCGAAAGGGGUGCUAAUACCGGAUAAUGUUUUCGGACCAAAGAUUUAUCGCCUUUGGAUGGGCCCGCGUUGGAUUAGCUAGUUGGUAGGGUAAAAGCCUACCAAGGCGACGAUCCAUAGCUGGUCUGAGAGGAUGAUCAGCCACACUGGGACUGAGACACGGCCCAGACUCCUACGGGAGGCAGCAGUGGGGAAUAUUGGACAAUGGGCGAAAGCCUGAUCCAGCAAUGCCGCGUGAGUGAUGAAGGCCUUAGGGUUGUAAAGCUCUUUUACCCGGGAUGAUAAUGACAGUACCGGGAGAAUAAGCCCCGGCUAACUCCGUG